UACAGAGGUCUCAAGCGUUGUUCGGAUUCAUUGGGCGUAAAGGGUGCGUAGGCGGCGGGGCAAGUCGGAUGUGAAAUCUCAGGGCUCAACCCUGAAACUGCAUUCGAUACUGCCUUGCUCGAGGACUGGAGAGGAGAUUGGAAUUCACGGUGUAGCAGUGAAAUGCGUAGAUAUCGUGAGGAAGACCAGUGGCGAAGGCGGAUCUCUGGACAGUUCCUGACGUGAGCACGAAGGCCAGGGGAGCAAACGGG
rnacentral:rRNA from 1 species